UACAGAGGUCUCAAGCGUUGUUCGGAUUCAUUGGGCGUAAAGGGUGCGUAGGUGGCGGGGUUAGUCAGGUGUGAAAUCUCGGGGCUCAACCCCGAAACUGCACUUGAUACUGCCUUGCUAGAGUACUGGAGAGGAGAUUGGAAUUUACGGUGUAGCAGUGAAAUGCGUAGAUAUCGUAAGGAAGACCAGUGGCGAAGGCGAAUCUCUGGACAGUUACUGACACUGAGGCACGAAGGCCAGGGGAGCAAUCGGG
rnacentral:rRNA from 1 species